UUUAUAUGAGAGUUUGAUCCUGGCUCAGGAUGAACGCCGGCGGUGUGCCUAAUACAUGCAAGUCGUACGCACUGGCCCAACUGAUUGAUGGUGCUUGCACCUGAUUGACGAUGGAUCACCAGUGAGUGGCGGACGGGUGAGUAACACGUAGGUAACCUGCCCCGGAGCGGGGGAUAACAUUUGGAAACAGAUGCUAAUACCGCAUAACAACAAAAGCCACAUGGCUUUUGUUUGAAAGAUGGCUUUGGCUAUCACUCUGGGAUGGACCUGCGGUGCAUUAGCUAGUUGGUAAGGUAACGGCUUACCAAGGCGAUGAUGCAUAGCCGAGUUGAGAGACUGAUCGGCCACAAUGGAACUGAGACACGGUCCAUACUCCUACGGGAGGCAGCAGUAGGGAAUCUUCCACAAUGGGCGCAAGCCUGAUGGAGCAACACCGCGUGAGUGAAGAAGGGUUUCGGCUCGUAAAGCUCUGUUGUUGGAGAAGAACGUGCGUGAGAGUAACUGUUCACGCAGUGACGGUAUCCAACCAGAAAGUCACGGCUAACUACGUGCCAGCAGCCGCGGUAAUACGUAGGUGGCAAGCGUUAUCCGGAUUUAUUGGGCGUAAAGCGAGCGCAGGCGGUUGCUUAGGUCUGAUGUGAAAGCCUUCGGCUUAACCGAAGAAGUGCAUCGGAAACCGGGCGACUUGAGUGCAGAAGAGGACAGUGGAACUCCAUGUGUAGCGGUGGAAUGCGUAGAUAUAUGGAAGAACACCAGUGGCGAAGGCGGCUGUCUGGUCUGCAACUGACGCUGAGGCUCGAAAGCAUGGGUAGCGAACAGGAUUAGAUACCCUGGUAGUCCAUGCCGUAAACGAUGAGUGCUAGGUGUUGGAGGGUUUCCGCCCUUCAGUGCCGGAGCUAACGCAUUAAGCACUCCGCCUGGGGAGCGAACAGGAUUAGAUACCCUGGUAGUCCAUGCCGUAAACGAUGAGUGCUAGGUGUUGGAGGGUUUCCGCCCUUCAGUGCCGGAGCUAACGCAUUAAGCACUCCGCCUGGGGAGUACGACCGCAAGGUUGAAACUCAAAGGAAUUGACGGGGGCCCGCACAAGCGGUGGAGCAUGUGGUUUAAUUCGAAGCUACGCGAAGAACCUUACCAGGUCUUGACAUCUUGCGCUAACCUUAGAGAUAAGGCGUUCCCUUCGGGGACGCAAUGACAGGUGGUGCAUGGUCGUCGUCAGCUCGUGUCGUGAGAUGUUGGGUUAAGUCCCGCAACGAGCGCAACCCUUGUUACUAGUUGCCAGCAUUAAGUUGGGCACUCUAGUGAGACUGCCGGUGACAAACCGGAGGAAGGUGGGGACGACGUCAGAUCAUCAUGCCCCUUAUGACCUGGGCUACACACGUGCUACAAUGGACGGUACAACGAGUCGCAAACUCGCGAGAGUAAGCUAAUCUCUUAAAGCCGUUCUCAGUUCGGACUGUAGGCUGCAACUCGCCUACACGAAGUCGGAAUCGCUAGUAAUCGCGGAUCAGCAUGCCGCGGUGAAUACGUUCCCGGGCCUUGUACACACCGCCCGUCACACCAUGGGAGUUUGUAACGCCCAAAGUCGGUGGCCUAACCUUUAUGGAGGGAGCCGCCUAAGGCGGGACAGAUGACUGGGGUGAAGUCGUAACAAGGUAGCCGUAGGAGAACCUGCGGCUGGAUCACCUCCUUUCUAAGGAA
rnacentral:rRNA from 1 species